UCAACCACAACACGUCCACGUCGUGGGUAGAGACUCAUCGUGUACUCGGCGCAAUUAUUCUACUCGUUGUUCUACUUGUCCCUAUGUCGUGCGCUUCGAAGAGUUUGAGUUAACGUGCGUGGUGAGAGAGAUAAAUUUGCAGUGCGAAUUAAAUCUUCGUUGGAUAUUUAUAAUAUAUGGAAUUAACACAGAGUUUGGGAUAAUAUUUAUUUUUUGUAGAAAGAGAUCAAUUCUAGAGACUUUGAUUUGACCAAAUUGGAAUUAAUAAAUUUACAAUCGCCAAGGUAAACAUUGAUUGUUAUACGUUUAUUAUUUAUUAGUAUUAAUAAGCGUCG